CCUGGUCCAUCUUCAUCCCUGCACCCACGCGAGGAUAUCGUAGUCACAGACACACCUGAGGAUUAGCUAACAGAAAAAUGGUGUUCGACACCCUUAUCAAGGGUCUAUCUCUUCAUCUGGCGAUCUGUGUCUAUGUAGAUGUGUGCGAGUCACACAUACACACGCAGACACACAUACACGCAGAGCAGAAACUGACUUCAGUGCCAUUUUGCAUCAUCACCCCUAUUAGGAUUAUCAGAGUAUUGGAAUUGUGGGUAAAAGAAGAUCUAUUUCUUUUCCAAAGGCACAUCUCAGAAUCUGCAAGGGAAGAAUGGCUCUCGGACUCCAGAUUUCUCCCCCUAACUCCAGAAUAUAGAAGAUACGGCUGCUGAGAAGGGAGCCGAGCCCUGUUUACAGCAGCUGGGAGCCAUCCUCACGUUUGAUUGCCACAAUUUUUCUCCCUAAUCAUGCCUGAAAAAUAAAUUUCUU
rnacentral:lncRNA from 1 species